rnacentral:tRNA from 1 species
AGCUCCAUAAUGUAGUAGUAGGCACAUCUGCUUUACACACAGAAGGUCCUGGGUUCAUGCCCCAGGUGAAGCCA